CACUCCCUGGGGUGCUUGCCAGUUGACGAUGUCCCUGAGCCGAUUCGCACUACCCUGGAUGUUGCACGUUGGGCCGGUGUGCAUGUCCGCUAGACGGAAAGCCUUAAGGUCUACUGCAUCGUCCACCUUGAACUUUCGGGUUCAAGGGCUAAGUCAGCAGCGGUUCAUCCGGGGAGCCU
rnacentral:other from 1 species